rnacentral:rRNA from 1 species
CAGAAGAAGCACUGGCUAACUCCGUGCCAGCAGCCGCGGUAAUACGGAGGGUGCGAGCGUUAAUCGGAAUUACUGGGCGUAAAGCGCGCGUAGGCGGCGUGAUCAGCCGGUUGUGAAAGCCCCGGGCUCAACCUGGGAACGGCAUCCGGAACUGUCACGCUAGAGUGCAGGAGAGGAAGGUAGAAUUCCCGGUGUAGCGGUGAAAUGCGUAGAGAUCGGGAGGAAUACCAGUGGCGAAGGCGGCCUUCUGGACUGACACUGACGCUGAGGUGCGAAAGCAUGGGUAGCAAACAGGAUUAGAUACCCUGGUAGUCCAUGCCGUAAACGAUGUCGACUAGCCGUUGGGGUCCUUGUGACCUUUGUGGCGCAGUUAACGCGAUAAGUCGACCGCCUGGGGAGUACGGCCGCAAGGUUAAAACUCAAAUGAAUUGACGGGGGCCCGCACAAGCGGUGGAGCAUGUGGUUUAAUUCGAUGCAACGCGAAGAACCUUACCUACUCUUGACAUCGUGCGAACUUUCCAGAGAUGCAUUGGUGCCUUCGGGAACGCACAGACAGGUGCUGCAUGGCCGUCGUCAGCUCGUGUUGUGAAAUGUUGGGUUAAGUCCCGUAACGAGCGCAACCCCUAUCCCUAUUUGCCAGCGAUUCGGUCGGGAACUCUAGGGAGACUGCCGGUGACAAACCGGAGGAAGGUGGGGAUGACGUCAGGUCAUCAUGGCCCUUACGAGUAGGGCUACACACGUGCUACAAUGGCCGGUACAAAGGGUUGCGAAGCCGCGAGGUGGUGCUAAUCCCGAAAAGCCGGUCUCAGUCCGGAUCGGAGUCUGCAACUCGACUCCGUGAAGUCGGAAUCGCUAGUAAUCGUGAAUCAGAAUGUCACGGUGAAUACGUUCCCGGGCCUUGUACACACCGCCCGUCACACCAUGGGAGUGGACUGCACCAGAAGUGGUUAGCUUAACCUUCGGGAGAGCGAUCA